ACAGACUUCCUGUGUUGCAUAACAGACACAUCCACAACUGAGCAUUAUUUGGACAGCAAGGAGAUCAAACCAGUCAAUCCUAAAGGAAAUCAACCCUGAAUAUUAAUUGGAAGGACUGAUGCUGAAGCUGAAACUCCAAUACUUUGGCUACCUGCUACAAAGAGCUGACUCAUUGGAAAAGACCCCGAUGCUGGGAAAGAUUGAGGGCAGGAGGAGAAGGAGACGACAGAGGAUGAGAUGGUUGGAUGGCAUUACCAACUCGAUGGACAUGAGUUUGAGCAAACUCUAAGCAACAGUGAAGGGCAGGGAAG
ensembl:lncRNA